rnacentral:lncRNA from 1 species
UAGUGAAAAUAAUUAGACAAAACAGGCAAGACACCGAACCAUCAAUGUUUAAUUUCUUGACUAUUGCUAUGGUGUUUAAAUUCUUGACUAUUGUUAUGAUCAAAUACAGUUUCGUUAUCACCAAUCAAACAAACCAACAGUUAUGGUUAUGUAGCCACUAUUACAACCAGUUACAAAGUCAGUGGAGCAGAGCUCCAGGCACGAGAUGACGAUGUCAUGUGUAACACGGAUCCAGAGACAUCACCAAGAUCAUUUCCCCAGAAAGCAGAGACAUAUUCACUACAUGCAGACAGGAAUCAGGAGCUGCUUGAUAAUCUCGCAACCUUGGCUCAUCUCAUCUCACUCACCACACAGGAGAUAGGCACCAUAGACUGACAGGUCGGAUCAGGCAACGCACCUGUCUCCUAUUAAGGCUUCAGCGGAGAUGGAGAUCUCAGUGAUUACCACCGACAAGUUCCCGCAAUCACUUCAAUCUCGUGCACAUAGUCCAUCAGCGUUUGCUUCACUACCGGCGGGCAAUCAAGAGAGCAAGAUGCAACAUUUUCUUCUGACAAAGCUUGUGUGGGUUUUUCAACAUUUUAAUAUUUGCCAUCUUUUCGCCAGACACCAUGACACGGGCGAUGCUAAAAUCAUCCCCCUUUUCCAGUGCAAACUGCCAUUCCCUCGCUGUGAUGUAGAACCAGUUUUUGUUUGAAGUUGUGGUUGCCUUCACCUCCACAUACUCUAUCCGAUUAUCUCCGCGGGUGAUGAUAAUAUCAUAGGGCAGUCCGGUUUCAGUGUCUGCAUUCACCCACCUGACGUUCUUGGCCCCUAGCCGCUCAACCAAAUGUUUGUAGGCUACAGCUUCACCAACCCUGCCAGUUUUUAGUAACUGGGCUGCGCGGAGCCUUUCCCUGCCUUCUGAAGUAUUGGGCAUUUUGUCACUGAAAUCCAUUACCUCAGUCUCGCUAGGUGAACCGGUCCCCAGGUCCAAAUAAGCAGGUGCACCGUCCGCGUUAAUGGACAUCACCAUCUGAGGCUCGUCCAAUGUUGCCACUGUGCUUUCUGUGUGUAAGUUACUUUCUAGACUCGUAUCCUCUUCUAUAACCCAAUCCUCGUCGAGCUGAACAGGAAACCAAUUAUCUUCUGUAUUUGUGAGCUCAACAUCAUUCACCUCUGUAUCUUGCAGGGGUCCAGGAAGCCAAUUAUCAUUAUUCACCUUUGUAUCUUGCAGGGGUCCAUGCUGACUUCUGCGGGAUGUUCUAAAAUCAGGAGCUGUUCUCCAAUUAUUAGGUGGCCAACUUGAAACAGUUCCGUCUGACCUCUGAUGUUGUUUGUGAAUAUUGAGAACACAGGCAGAUGAGGUUUCAACCGGUUUGGAAUCAACACCUUGGUCGGGUACAAACUCUGGCACAAACGAGGAAGAAAAGGACCAAACCGCUUCCUCUUCAGGCAACGCAGGCACAUUCUGAUUAUUAACGACAAA